UACGAGUGCCCCAGGCGUUAUCCGGAAUUAUUGGGCGUAAAGGGUGUGUAGGCGGUUGUGUUAGUCUGCAGUCAAAUUCUUCGGCUUAACCGGGGUACCGCUGCGGAAACGGCACAACUAGAGGAUGCGAGGGGUGAGUGGAACUCAUGGAGUAGGGGUGAAAUCCGUUGAUAUCAUGGGGAACACCGAAAGCGAAGGCAGCUCACUGGCGCACUCCUGACGCUGAAACACGAAAGCGUGGGUAGCGAAUGGG
rnacentral:rRNA from 1 species